rnacentral:lncRNA from 1 species
UCAGCUAAUCAAAGAUUAUACAAAUUAGGCCUCGUUAGUUUACAGUAGUUCCGACCAAGAAUGAAUCCUGAUGCAUGUGGCCUAUACAAAUUACAAUAAUGUUCCUAGCUAGAAUAUUUCUAUGGCUUCAUUCCCCUUCAAACGAACAGCCUCUUACACAAUCUAGCUAAGAAUCAUUCCAGGACACCAUCCCAUGUUAACCGAACAGGCCCUAAGUAAGUUGGAGCUAAAGAUACAGCUUUUGCUACUUCUGGAGUUAGUUUUAACCGCAAACAUUGGCGCCAUGUCUUAAUCAUCUGCAUCUCCAGUUACCGGCCGGCUUCUCUGAACUCAGAAGAACACAACGGUGACGCUACUUGGCAGAUUGAUCCUCCUGUAGAAACAACAACUCAAGUGACGGCAUCAAGAUGCACUAGAUUGCUGGGUGG